rnacentral:lncRNA from 1 species
CUCUCUCUCUCUCUCUCUCUCUCUCUCUCUCUCUCUCUUAUUUAGAUGUAUUACAACUUUACUACAUAAAGACUCUCUUACCCAGUGGAAGGUUUUUGCUUAGCACCUGGAUGACCAUCUUAAGCAUCAGCUGCCAUCUUAAGAAAAAGUUUGUCCAUGAGGCUCAGAGCUAUUCUCAA